CUUGGUUUGGAGAUGAUUUAUUGUCAUUUCAAAGCAUAUGCAACUUUGUGUUUUAUAAAUGGAAACUGGGUGAGAUAUAUCCUCUGAAAGACAUUCUUUAAGGCUAUGUUUAAUUAAACUGUAGCAGUCAGAAUGAUGGUGUUCUUGGCAGAAUUUCAAAAUAAAGCCCACUCCAAGGACGGGAUGUGAAAUUAUAUCACAGCAAGGGGCAUUUAAGCAAGAUCCUAAGAUGGUAAUGCCAAUUACAGUGACUUUGGAAUACAGGACUGAGAGUGCACAUGAGGCUGUAAAAUUAGGUCAGGACAUUUUCAAUAACAAGUUUCCUCAUAAAUGAAGACAAACUGCUUCAUUAAAUGAUUGUGAAGACUGUGUGAUCCAACAUAAGGAGAGUGCUUAGCAUGGAGACAAACACUUACUUUACUGAAAGAUGGAGAGAGCGGAAGAAGCUGAUAAUAUCAUAUAUCAGCUUUUCAGACAGCUGAAGCAAC
ensembl:lncRNA